rnacentral:rRNA from 1 species
AUACGUAGGUGACAAGCGUUAUCCGGAUUUACUGGGCGUAAAGGGCGUGUAGGCGGUCUUGCAAGUCAGAAGUGAAAUUCCUGAGCUCAACUCGGGCGCUGCUUCUGAAACUGCAGGACUUGAGUGCUGGAGGGGAUAGCGGAAUUCCUAGUGGAGCGGUAAAAUGCGCAGAUAUUAGGAAGAACACCGGUGGCGAAGGCGGUGAUCUGGACGUUAACUGACGCUGAGGCGCGAAAGCGUGGGGAGCAAACAGGAUUAAAUACCCUGGUGGUCCACGCCGUAAACGAUGAAUUCUAGGUGUAGGGGGUAUCGACUCCCUCUGUGCCGCAGUUAACACAAUAAGUAUUCCGCCUGGGGAGUACGGCCGCAAGGUUGAAACUCAAAUGAAUUGACGGGG